rnacentral:lncRNA from 1 species
CAUGAGGCCCUCACCAGAUACAGCCACCUGAUCUUGGACUUCACAGCCUCCAGAAAUAGAUGCCUUCUGCCAUGAUUAUAAGUUUCCUGAGGCCUCCCCAGCCAUGCAGAACUUCCAGUGAUUCAAGUUUGACACACCACACCACGGUGGAUGUGCCUUGUCAUGACACAUCUCAGCAGCACUAGAAGAUACAUCCAAAGUCCUGUGAGCAAGGUCUGUGGUAUCUGUUUAUUAUGGCAGCCCAGUAAGACUAAGACAGGCCAUCACAAGACGUGAACGUUUUGGACCUUCUCUUGGGCCCUAGUAAACAGAAAUCAGGCUAUUUAUUAAACUAAUCCACGUUCUGAACAGUUAUUGCUACUGGAAACCAGUCCCGAUCCAGACCACAAAAGACGAUUCUUGGAUCUUGCACAAGAAAGAAAGGGAAGAUCUGGCAAGAGUUAGCGUGCAGUUCUACAUUGUGACAAUUCAUGAGAGCUAAGGACUGGCUGUCUCUUGGGACAAAUAGGCUUUCUUGAGUCUGCAUGAGGCCCUCACCAGAUACAGCCACCUGAUCUUGGACUUCACAGCCUCCAGAAAUAUGCCCUGGAAUACACUUGUGUCAGUGACAAAUGCUGCUUUGCUGUGCUACAUCGAGUACAAGUCCAGUGAUUCAAGUUUGACACACCACACCACGGUGGAUGUGCCUUGUCAUGACACAUCUUCUCAGCAGCACUAGAAGAUACAUCCAAAGUCCUGUGAGCAAGGACACAGCGAGAAGAUGGCUGUCUACAAGCCAGGAAGAGAGUCCUCACCAGAACCAAACCCUGCUGGACUUUGAUCUUGGACUUCCCAGCCUCUAAAACUGUGAAGACAUAAAUUUCUGUUGUUAAACCCACACAGGUCUGUGGUAUCUGUUUAUUAUGGCAGCCCAGUAAGACUAAGACAGGCCAUCACAAGACAUGAAUGUUUUGGACCUUCUCUUGGGCCCUAGUAAACAGAAAUCAGGUACGCAAAAGGGGUAAGCAUAUAAUUUCCUUUAUUUUUAUUUUUAAUGUGUAAGCCUUAGGUUUUUAUUUAUUUAUUUGGUGAAGACAAUCACAUUGUGUACGUACAAUGUAAUUAUAUUGUUGACGAGAAGUUACUUAAAAUUUUUUAAAAAUUCUAAUCGAUUUCUAGAUGUCCAAAUGAGAAGAUAGCAUUUAUAUACCAUCAGAACAUAAAAUAAUUCAAAAAAAUAAAUUUAUAAAACAAUAUGUAUUAUAUUGAGAGAAAGAGAGGGAGAGAGUAUUGGAAGAAUAUAUGCAAAUACAAUGUGAUAAUGUGAUGUCUUUGUGAGAAUGCUAUAUGUCAUUUUCUUUGUUUAUAUGAAUUUUUACAAUUUUUACCUUUGAAAUAUAAAAAAGAGAGAAUAAAAGUCAUUGAAAAAAUCAAAAGUAACUAUUUUCAUAGGUGAGUAAGUAUACAUCUUUAACAGAAC